rnacentral:lncRNA from 1 species
GAACACACAUCGGGCGAUCCCUACCAAUCAGGUGCCCCCUUCCAAGGCUUAUGAUGCAUGUCCUAUUUGCAAGGCUACUAGUCAUGCUCCUGCUAGUUGUCCGCAAGCUUUCUGUGAGAGAUGCAAUAAAUUGGGUCAUCUAGCCUCGGUUUGCGUUACAUUCCUGCCCUGGGAGUGCAUCGCUCCCCUGUGUGCCUUCCAGGCCAAAGGGCAGGGAUUCCUUUACAUUCCUGAUUCUUGCACUGCUAAACAACUCAAGGAGAGAUCUACUAGCGUCGUGAUUACUGUCAUAGAGGGGACUGCUAGUGUUAAGGAACUUGAGGAAGCGUUUUCUGACUACAUAGGGACCAAAUGGCACUGCACUGCCCGUAUCAUUGGCCCUGACACCUAUGUGAUGAGAUUUCCUAAUCAACGGGAUGUGAAUAAAGCAUGUUAUAACGAUAGGAUGAUCCUUAGAUCCUGUGGUGUAGUAGUUAAGAUCGUUCCUUGGUCGGCCAACAUUGGGGCUAAAGGGACUAUGGAGAUGGCAUGGGUGAAAGUUGCUAAUAUCCCUCUGGAAAGAAGAAAUGAGAGAAAUCUUGCUUAUGUUUCUUCCCUGGUGGGCGUCCCGCUCGAGAUCGACAUGGCCACCCUACACAAACCUGAAUUUGUCAGGGUUCGGCUGGGAUGUCGCAAUGUGGACGAGCUCCCUGGGGUUGCUGAGGCAGUGUUGGGCACACACUUCUUUGAUUUCUUCUAUGAAAUCGAGAAGGUGUUGGUUCGUGACCCUGAAAGAGAAAAAAGGGAUGUGCAGACAGAGGCAGAUGUUAACAAAUCCCCUUUUGUGAGAACUUCCACAUGGGGCAAGCAUGAUCCUAAGUCUGCACACAAAGGGAAUGAUGCUGGAUGCAGUAAGAAUGGUGAUGAUGGGGUUGGUGAUCCUGUCGAGGAAAAGGAGGAAGAAAGUGCGGAGUCUGAGGAGUCAGAAGAUAACACAUUGCUUAUUGAAACCAUGGCUGUGGAGGCUUACAACAAAGAAAAUGCGCGGGCCUCUCAGGCAAUGCUAGAUGUUGUUGACACCCAGCAUAAUGCUGAUGAGAUUCAGGUAGAAACAAUGCUGGCACAUGUUCACCUGUUGCUGUUAUGUCUCAUGAUGAUAUAGCUCAUUUGGAUGUGGCUAUGGACUAUAAGCAGGUGGUGGAAAUGGAAGGAGAGGACCUUUCCAAGCUGGAGAAGUCAGAAUACCUGGUACAAUACCCUGCCUCCCCCUCUGAGGAUUUGGGAGAGGUGAUUCCUACCCCUCCCCUUUUAUCUGAAGAGGUUCAGAGGUUUAGCUUGAGGAACUUGCAGAAUAUGGAAGGAAGAAUGCAAGAGAGAGCUAUUGCCAUUUCCAAGAAGAGAAAUCUGGAAGGUAAUUCAGCUAAUCAUAACUCCUUUGAUGCACUAUCUAAUCCUGAACUUAUGAUUCGUGCUGUGAAAACGGGGGUAGCUUUCCCUGACAAUAACUUGAAGUAGUCAGGGGGGAAAUGUUCAAAUCAGAGAGGGAACAAAAUGUAAGAGUAGAGGAAGAAAUGAUGUAUAUUACUAAUGGUAAGGGAGAUCAAACCCCUGUUACUACUGAUUGGGGGGAUGGGGAUGAGGACAUGGAAGAGCAAUUUACCUUGGUGCGGUCUAGGAAAAGGAAAAGCCCUAAAGUGAAAGUUGCUAUUUCCAGACCCAUCACUAGGAGUCAGAAGAGUCAUGUAGAAAAAACGCAAGCUGGCAGCCCUGUCCAUAAUACCAGGGCCACCAGAGGGGGGAGAAAAGGGAAAAGACAUAAAUGAUAGGUCUAUUUUGGAAUUGUAGGGGGGCAGGGAAAAAAGGGAUGAAAACCUGUCUUUCCCAUAUGAUUAAGGACCAUUCCCUUGACUUUAUGUGUCUGCAAGAAACGCUUAAGAAGAAUUUUUUGGAUAGUUAUUUUAGGAAGCUCGAUCCAUACAACUUGUUUGAGUGGGAAUGGAUCCCCUCAAUUGGCAAGGCUGGGGGCAUUCUGUGUGGGGUUCGGAAGGAGAAGUUUGAGGUAGUUGCUUGGAGAAAAGGCAGGUUCAUUCUCCAGGUAUCUCUCUAUGAUAUUAAUAUGAAGAAGAUUUGGACUCUUUGCAGUGUUUAUGGAGCAGCCCAUGAGGGGGAUAAAAAUGAUUUCCUUAGUGAAUUGGCUGAUUUCUGCUGCCAUAUUCAAACACCUUUGUUGAUUGGGGGAGAUUUCAAUAUCCUCAGACACGAUGGAGAGAAGAAUAAAAGAUGGCGUCGAACAGCACAUUCUGACCUGUUCAAUUCGAUCAUCAACACUAUGUGUUUGAGUGAGACUUAUAUGAGUGGGGGGACUUACACUUGGUCUAAUAACCAAGCUCAUCCUACCCUGGAGAAAUUGGAUCGUGUUCUUAUGAGUAAUGAAUGGGAGGAGAUGUUUCCUAUGGUUAAUAUGAAGAAACUCGUUCGGGAGGUGUCUGAUCACAAUGCACUCUUAUUGUACUCUGAUAAUCAUGUUAUCAGAGCCCCACAAAAAAGAGAGUUCCGAUUCGAAAUGAGCUGGCUAAAAUCUGAGGACUUUAUUCCUCUAGUUAGCAAGAUCUGGAAUCAGAAUGUGAAUGCUACCGACCCUGUUGAUAUUCUAAAUAUCAAAUUAAAAAGAUUUAAGAAGUUUUUCAAAGGCUGGGGGUCGAGCAACUUUGGUCAUGAAAAGAAAAGGAAGCAAGAGAUUAGAGAAGAACUUGCUCUCAUUGAAAAAGCAGAAGAGGAAGGGACUAUAGAUGAUGAGAUGUUUUGUAGGAAGACUGAUCUCCUUGUGGAGAUGAAUGAAAUCCUUGUCAAUGAGGAGCUUUUUCUGCUGCAGCAAUCGAAUGAGAGAUGGCUGCUUGGGGGGAUCGUAACACCGCUUACUACCAAAAAAUUGCUAACUGUAAUAAGCGGAAAAACACGAUACAUUCUCUUCAUGUGGGGGAUGCAGUGAUUGAGGGGACUGAAAACCUGCUGGAGCAUGCCACUGAUUUCUACAAAAAUCUUUUUGGACCGGCCCAGGGAAACAUGUUCCAUCUUGACCCUGGGAUUUGGGGGGUAGAGGAAAAGCUCGAUGAGCUGGACAAUGAGAUUCUUAAUAGACCUUUCACAGAGGAAGAAGUGAAGAGAGCCUUAUUUUCCAUGAAAAGCAACAGGCCCCUGGCCCGGACAAUAUCCCCGCUGAAUUUUACCAGCAGUGCUGGGAGAUAGUGAAGGAGGAUAUCAUGAGAUUGUUUGCUGCUUUCCACGCAGGAGAGCUGGACGUUUGUAGACUGAAUUAUGGCAUUAUUACUUUGUUGCCUAAAAUCAAUGGGGCCAAUAAGAUCCAGCAGUUUAGGCCGAUUUGCUUGCUGAGAUGUCCCUACAAGUUAAUAACUAAUGUGCUUGAUAACAGGGUGGCCCCUUUUGCUGAUAAAUUGUUUAGUAAGCAUCAAAAUUCCUUUAUCAAGCAUAGAAACAUCAUGGAUGGGGUAUUGUCGUUGCACAAAAUUCUGCAUCAUACUUACAACAAGAAGAAGGUGGGUAUUGUCAUCAAGCUUGAUUUCGAGAAAGCUUAUGACAAAGUGAACUGGGAAUUUCUUUUGGAAUGUCUUGAGAUGAGAGGGUCUGGUCCCACAUGGUGUGGGUGGAUUAAAAGUGUCCUGGUUGAUGGCACAGUCAGUGUGAAGCUGAACAAUGUGAUGGGGCCAUAUUUCAAGAGCUUUAAAGGGGUUAGACAGGGGGAUCCUGUGUCGCCCUUCCUUUUUAACAUUGCUGCUGAAUGCUUGUGUAAAAUGGUGCUGCAGGCGCAGAGAAAUAAUCUAGUUGUGGGACUUGCUCCGGAUCUUGUUGAAAAUGGAGUGGCAAUACUGUAAUAUGCAGAUGAUACAGUCCUAUGCAUAGACCAUGAUUUGGAUAAAGCUGUGAAUAUGAAGUUGCUGUUAUACAUAUUUGAGCUCAUGUCUGGGCUUAAAAUCAAUUUCCAGAAAAUUGAGAUCCUGUGUGUAGGGGGGGAUGAUGAGACUCUUAAAGCAUAUGCUGAUAUUUUUGGUUGUCAAAUAGGGCACUUCCCCAUGAAGUAUCUUGGGGUGCCAGUGACCUUUUCUUCUCUGUGAGUAGCUGACUGGGACUUUUUAGAGGCCAGAUUCAUUAAAAGAUGUGACUCUGGCUUGGGGGGCAAUGCCUCGUCUGGGGGACGUUUAACACUGCUUAAUGCUAAUAUUUCUAGCAUUGCCUUUUAUUAUAUGUCCAUGUACCUUUUAUCCAAAACUAUACUUGCCAGGAUUGACAAGUGUAGGAGGAGAUUCUUCUGGCAUGUGACCCAAAAUAAAAAACGAUAUUACCCGGUUAAGUGGACUAGAAUUUGUAGAUCCAAGAGUAAAGGGGGGCUGGGUGUGAAAGAUCUUCAUAAGCAGAAUCUUAGCCUGCUUACUAAAUGGUGGUGGAAGUUAGAAACUAAAUCUGGACUUUGGCAGGAUAUUGUGAAAGCUAAGUACUUCAGUAGGGCUACCGUGGCUGAUAUUAAAAUGAAGUGCAAUGACUCACCAUGCUGGAAAGCCAUUAUGAAGGUGAAAUAUCUUUAUAUGGCAGGGAGGAGAGUAAUUGUGCAAUCUGGAAACAUUGCCAGACUGUGGGUUGAUCCCAUUGGGGACAAUAUACUUAUGGCUGAGCAGUUUCCUCGUCUUUUCUCUAUUUGCAAUUAUCCUGAGUGCACUAUUGAUAAAUGCUUAAAUGUUGAUCCCUCCUCAUUCUUUAGGAGAAGGUUGAAUAGUGAGCUUAAUGACCAGUGGGUUUUUGUGAGUAAAUUGGCUAGAGAAGCAUGUGUUUCAGACGCUGCUGAUGUGAUCAAAUGGGGCUUGGGUGGGAAAACCUCUUUUACCACCAAAUCUGUUUAUUCGUUCCUGGAAAAGAAUGUUGCUGGAUGUGAUUAUAUAUGGAUCUGGAGUGCCAGAAUCCCUCUCAAAAUUCAAAUAUUGUUGUGGCAACUUUUUCAGGAUGCUGUCCUGACUAGGGAUGUGAUGAAACACCGAGGGUGGAAAGGGAACCCAAAGUGUUCUUUUUGCGGAGGGAGAGAAACCGCACAACACCUGUUCUUUGCUUGCCCUGUUGCCAGGGUAAUCUGGAGGACAGUGGCAUGUAUGUUUGGCACUGCUUUGUGCCCUGAUAAUAUUUGGCAACCUUAUUCAUGGUGUUAUACGUUCUUCCCUGGAGGGGAAAAGUUUUAUACGGCAGGGAUUGCUGCUAUGUGCUGGGCGAUCUGGUCGUGUCGUAACAGGGUUACUUUUGAGUUCAAACCGCUUACAAACCCAUUUGAAUGUAUAUUCUCUGCCUGUGCUUUAAUUUGCUACUGGGCAGGAAUGAUGAAGCAAGAGGAUGCAGUUGCCAUGAGGGACGGGGCGAAGAUGCUGAAGGAGAAUGCGUCGAUGAUGAUGAGGAUCUGUGCUGCAAACCACGAAGAGGCAUCCCGUUGAUCCUGCUGGAGAUGUUCCCUUGUGGUCUAGCUUGAUGUUUGAGUUGCUCUCCCCUGCGUGGGCUUGAACUUAUGCUGCUCGACUGUUGUGAGCCUGGGUGCUGUGACUUUUGGGGGCUGUUGGCCCUGGUUCCUAGCUUUAGAUGUAUGGUGUCGUCGGGUUUUCGCCUCACAGCGAGUAAUCUCGAUGGCGAGUGCUUGCAGUGGGUUUCCCGACGAUGCGUUGAACUCGCUUCCCCUUUUCUCCUUUCUUGGACUGUUGUAUUUCCGUUAUGUUGCAGUAAUAGAAAGGGGUAAUGCCCGGUUCAAAAAAAAA